rnacentral:rRNA from 1 species
AAGUAGGGGAUCGUAAGACCUUGCGCUUUUGGAGCGGCCGAUGUCUGAUUAGCUAGUUGGUGGGGUAAUGGCCUACCAAGGCUUCGAUCAGUAGCUGGUCUGAGAGGACGGCCAGCCACACUGGGACUGAGACACGGCCCAGACUCCUACGGGAGGCAGCAGUGGGGAAUUUUGGACAAUGGGCGCAAGCCUGAUCCAGCCAUGCCGCGUGAGUGAAGAAGGCCUUCGGGUUGUAAAGCUCUUUCAGCCGGGAAGAAAAGGUUGCGAUUAAUAAUCGCAAUUCAUGACGGUACCGAAAGAAGAAGCACCGGCUAACUACGUGCCAGCAGCCGCGGUAAUACGUAGGGUGCGAGCGUUAAUCGGAAUUACUGGGCGUAAAGGGUGCGCAGGCGGUUUUGUAAGUCAGAUGUGAAAUCCCCGGGCUUAA